rnacentral:sRNA from 1 species
UGCAUCUGGAGCCUGCGAGGAUGAGAACCUCCGGGGGCAGGAGGUUCGACUCGAGCGAAGCGAGAGAACGUUGCGUCAGCAACGGCCCGCAG